UUUUGAACAAUCUCAAAUAAGCCGACCAACAAAAACAAACAAGAAGAAGAAAUCUUUAUUGACGUAACAACUCCAAUAUCAUUUGAAAUCAUAACCCCAAUGACAUCCAACAAAUAAGUUGGGAAAUAACUUAAAAUGAAUUAUAAAGGCUAGAAAAAGGGUACUGCCCGAAACGUUGCCAAUCACCAUUAUAUUUUAAAUAAUAAUAAACCCUGCAUAUCAAA